rnacentral:rRNA from 1 species
GCGGUGCCUAUACAUGCAAGUCGAACGAACUCUGGUAUUGAUUGGUGCUUGCAUCAUGAUUUACAUUUGAGUGAGUGGCGAACUGGUGAGUAACACGUGGGAAACCUGCCCAGAAGCGGGGGAUAACACCUGGAAACAGAUGCUAAUACCGCAUAACAACUUGGACCGCAUGGUCCGAGUUUGAAAGAUGGCUUCGGCUAUCACUUUUGGAUGGUCCCGCGGCGUAUUAGCUAGAUGGUGGGGUAACGGCUCACCAUGGCAAUGAUACGUAGCCGACCUGAGAGGGUAAUCGGCCACAUUGGGACUGAGACACGGCCCAAACUCCUACGGGAGGCAGCAGUAGGGAAUCUUCCACAAUGGACGAAAGUCUGAUGGAGCAACGCCGCGUGAGUGAAGAAGGGUUUCGGCUCGUAAAACUCUGUUGUUAAAGAAGAACAUAUCUGAGAGUAACUGUUCAGGUAUUGACGGUAUUUAACCAGAAAGCCACGGCUAACUACGUGCCAGCAGCCGCGGUAAUACGUAGGUGGCAAGCGUUGUCCGGAUUUAUUGGGCGUAAAGCGAGCGCAGGCGGUUUUUUAAGUCUGAUGUGAAAGCCUUCGGCUCAACCGAAGAAGUGCAUCGGAAACUGGGAAACUUGAGUGCAGAAGAGGACAGUGGAACUCCAUGUGUAGCGGUGAAAUGCGUAGAUAUAUGGAAGAACACCAGUGGCGAAGGCGGCUGUCUGGUCUGUAACUGACGCUGAGGCUCGAAAGUAUGGGUAGCAAACAGGAUUAGAUACCCUGGUAGUCCAUACCGUAAACGAUGAAUGCUAAGUGUUGGAGGGUUUCCGCCCUUCAGUGCUGCAGCUAACGCAUUAAGCAUUCCGCCUGGGGAGUACGGCCGCAAGGCUGAAACUCAAAGGAAUUGACGGGGGCCCGCACAAGCGGUGGAGCAUGUGGUUUAAUUCGAAGCUACGCGAAGAACCUUACCAGGUCUUGACAUACUAUGCAAAUCUAAGAGAUUAGACGUUCCCUUCGGGGACAUGGAUACAGGUGGUGCAUGGUUGUCGUCAGCUCGUGUCGUGAGAUGUUGGGUUAAGUCCCGCAACGAGCGCAACCCUUAUUAUCAGUUGCCAGCAUUAAGUUGGGCACUCUGGUGAGACUGCCGGUGACAAACCGGAGGAAGGUGGGGAUGACGUCAAAUCAUCAUGCCCCUUAUGACCUGGGCUACACACGUGCUACAAUGGAUGGUACAACGAGUUGCGAACUCGCGAGAGUAAGCUAAUCUCUUAAAGCCAUUCUCAGUUCGGAUUGUAGGCUGCAACUCGCCUACAUGAAGUCGGAAUCGCUAGUAAUCGCGGAUCAGCAGCC